rnacentral:lncRNA from 1 species
GUAUUUUACAACUUUGGUCCGGUCACCUAAAAAUAAUAACCAUCUCUGACAAGUACUAUAUCAAAUCCUUUUCCUAUGCCUUUCAUUCCCACAACAAGUGAGCUUAAGAAUCAUCAUCAUGAUUGAUGUUACAGAUGAGAAAACUGAGACUAAAAGCUUCCCAAAUAAGAAAUAACCAACUCAAAGCUCAAACCCAGAUCAUCUUACUUCAGGUUGUUCACUAAUGCAUUCUACAAACAUCAACUGAAGUCACAUGCACCAAGCACUAUGCUACAUAAAUAACACCCACCAGUUAGAAAGCUUAUGGAGAUUGUACAGAUAAACAUAACAGACAGGUUAACUAUAGGUGCCAAUACCUUUCCUAACUGCCUCCACAUUUGUCAUUGGGAUAAGUGUAUAUUAAAUAUUUGAGAGCACAUUUCAUAAGUAAAACUCCAAAUGCAGUUUAUUCCAUCUCUCCCUUCUUGCAUGUAGGUAGCUGAAAAGAGCCAGCUGCCCAUCCUACAGAAUGAGACCAGAAGGUGAUGCAUCUGAUGUCUACAGUUUGCCAACAAAGUCAUUCUCCCCACUUCAGUCUCUUGGCAAGGAGGAGGCAAGAACUGACUGAUAUAAACCUGCCACCUGCCGGAGCCAAGAGGAACAAACCAAAAUUCCAGGUGAAGCCUGGUGAGAUUGAAUACUGAGGAAUCUCAAGAAAGGAAGGCAUGAAGACUUUGCAUGGAACGAAGUCAGGCUGACCUAAGCACAAAUCCCAACGUGGCCACUUACCAGCUAUAUCACUGCGACCGUAUGAUUCAACCUCUGUAAACCUCCAUUUUAUUGCCUGUAAAAUGAGAUUACUGGCAAUCAAAUGUAUGUUGAAUGAAUGAAUGAGAAAAAUGCACCAAUACAUUUUUGUUGGUAGGAUUAGAAAAACAUAUAUACGUAAAGCACCUACUGUAAUGCAUGGCACGGUCAAAAAAUAAAUGAGUAUAAAAUCAUUUAUUUAAAUAGUUCUAGUCUUUCUCUGCAUUGAGCACCCUGCAAUCAGCUCAGCUCAUAUGUGUGUAAUGCAGAAAUUUUUUGUGAGAAAAUCAAAACAAAACUUUGUCCUGAAUCCCUUACGCAGAUUUAUAUAAGCCAGGACCAAUCAACUUCAACUCGUCCAAGACCUGAAAUCAAAAAAUAAAAGAUAUUAUCAUUCUGUGAUCUGAGGUAUUCUCAAUAGAGGAGGAAAUCUAUAGAAGAAAGGUUAUUCUACCAAUUUCACUGUGUAAACUUUGGUGGGAUUUGCCAUCCAUUCCUACAUACAUGUAUGUGGUACUCAAAGAUUUCAAAAAGCAAGUUUUAGAGUAAUUUUCCUUAAUCAGCUGUCUCGUGAUAC